AUGAUGACCCAUUCAGUGUUGGGAUAACAAGAGUGAAGUGGGAAGGUCUCACAUUGGAAAGAUAAGGGAUACAUGAGCCUUGAGGGCAUAAAAGUGCAAAGGAUCCAUGGAUCUAAUGCCUUAAGUUGGGUAUAAUGUAAGUCCACAAGUUUUGUUCUUUCACAAGGCCCUACAAGUCUCACAAGCCAAGGUGGCUCUUAAAGCAACGACAAGAUGAAGGAAGCUAGGUUGCAGACUCACAGUGGCUUGGUGGAGUAGAUGGGUUCUUGGUGACACCAUAAACACUCAAGUGAAAUGCAGCGAAAGCUUCGUCCUUGGCAAUGCCAAGUGUGGAUGAGGGUUACACUUGAGGGGGAGAUUAUUGGCAUAGCAAGUGCAAAUUGAAAAAGUACCAUACUAGAAAGACUAGAUGGAGAACAUAUAAGUGGAAAAGGCCCAUGGACUUAAUGCCUUUUGGGUUGGAUGUGAUCUCAAGCUCACAAGUGUGAUUCUCUCACAAGGCCUUACAAGAAAUAUUCUCCCUAGCAUUUUUUACUCUGGUUCUAACAUCAUGUACAAG
rnacentral:misc_RNA from 1 species